rnacentral:lncRNA from 1 species
AAAAAACCCAAACAAACAAAAAUUGAAGCUAGUGGGAGAGAGAAAAGAGAAGUAAUUGCUAACUGUAUUCUAGUUGGUUUUAAAUGACAGCAGCACCAUUUUGCACAUUCAGAAAUCUGUAUUUGUGUUGUUUAACAUUCAUCUCCACAGGCCAUUUCUGGACAGGAGGCACUCCAAGGAAAUCUAUCAGUUCAGAUUCCUGACACCUGGCGAUUCGUAAAGAGUACUUUUUUUAAAACCUGGAGAAUCAUCAGACUCUUUCUUCCUUUUCACUUUAGGUACCUUUCUGGUUGAUCAGAGCCUACCAAACAAGGGUGAUUCAAAAGCAUUAAUAUCUGGUCUCAGAAUUGCAACAAGGAACUAAAAGACCAGAGCCUUCUGCUGCUGGAAACCAGAGGAAAUAUUUAUCAGAAAAAAAAAGAGAGAGAGAGAGAGAUACAAGAAGUCAAACAGUUAAUCUUUCCUGAAGACUGUGUGUUCUUUCAAGGCCUCUUGUUUCCUCAAGGCACACCGGGUUCUCCAGCAGAAGGUGGGAAACCAGCCCAGAGAUAAUUUCUUUCCUCCACCCUUUUUAAUGUUGUGAAAGAGCUGCCAAUUCUGGAAAUUCCUCCUUUGAUCAGAUGAUAAAGCAGAACAAUACUGUGGAACUAAAGUGAUUCCUAAGAGACAUUCUUCUAGGGUUCUCCAUAUAUUGCCCAGGCUGGCAUGGAACGCCUGGAUUCAAGUGAUCCUCUUCCUUUCAGUUUCCUCAGUGGCUGAGACUACAGUUGCAUGCCACUGCAUCUGCCUUCCCCAUUGGAAAGAAACUUCAACCUCUCCAUCUCCAGAAAGGUGCAGACAUAUUUACUAUAAUGGAAGAUUUAGAGGGCUUCAUCCACUGCAAACCCCCGCCCCCCCCCACUAAAAG